rnacentral:rRNA from 1 species
AUGGGUCGCGCAUCUCGCCGGCCCCGAGUCAGACGAACGCGACGAGCUCACCCAGUUUUGGUUGGCAGAGUGAAGCGGCGGCCGUCGACGAUGCGCAAGUGGGCGCUCUCCUGCGCGCUCCUCCUCGUCCUCCUCCUCACCACCCUCCCCGAUCCAGCUAAGAAGCUCCAAGUCAAUGCCGAGGAGAGCAGCGACGAGGUUGGCGACUUUCCCAAGGUAGAGGAGAAGCUUGGGGCCGUCCCCCAUGGCUUGUCCACCGACUCCGAGGUUGUCCAGAGGGAGUCCGAGUCGAUCUCGAGGAAGACCCUCAGGAACUCGGCUGAGAAGUUUGAGUUCCAGGCCGAGGUGUCCAGGCUCAUGGACAUCAUCAUCAACUCACUCUACAGCAACAAGGACAUCUUCCUGAGGGAGCUCAUUUCCAAUGCAUCUGAUGCUUUGGAUAAGAUUAGGUUCCUUACCCUCACUGAUAAGGAGGCUUUGGGCGAGGGUGACACUGCUAAGCUUGAAAUCCAGAUUAAGUUGGAUAAGGAGAACAAGAUUCUCUCUAUUCGGGAUAGGGGUGUUGGUAUGACCAAGGAAGAUCUCAUCAAGAACCUUGGAACCAUUGCCAAGUCUGGUACUUCAGCUUUCGUGGAAAAGAUGCAGACUGGAGGUGACCUCAAUCUCAUUGGGCAGUUUGGUGUUGGUUUCUACUCAGUAUACUUGGUUGCUGACUAUGUUGAAGUGGUCAGCAAGCACAAUGAUGACAAACAGUAUGUGUGGGAGUCCAAAGCUGAUGGAUCAUUCGCUAUUUCCGAGGAUACAUGGAAUGAACCCCUGGGCCGUGGAACUGAGAUCAAACUGCAUCUCCGCGAUGAGGCUAAGGAGUACUUGGAAGAAGGCAAGCUGAAGGACUUGGUGAAGAAGUACUCUGAGUUCAUCAACUUCCCCAUUUACUUGUGGGCAACCAAGGAGGUCGAUGUUGAAGUGCCAGCUGAUGAGGAAUCAAGUGAAGAAGAGGAAUCAACCACAGAGACGACAGAGGAAGAAGAGACAGAAGAUGAUGAAGAGAAGAAGCCAAAGACAAAGACUGUGAAGGAGACGACUACUGAAUGGGAGCUUCUGAAUGAUAUGAAGGCCGUGUGGCUUCGUAACCCCAAGGAGGUUACUGAAGAAGAGUAUGCAAAGUUUUACCACUCACUAGCCAAGGACUUUGGUGAUGACAAGCCUAUGACUUGGAGCCACUUCAGUGCUGAGGGAGAUGUCGAGUUCAAAGCUUUGCUCUUUGUUCCUCCGAAGGCUCCACAUGAUCUGUACGAGAGCUACUACAACGCUAACAAGUCAAACCUCAAGUUGUAUGUUAGAAGGGUUUUCAUCUCUGAUGAAUUCGAUGAUCUUCUUCCGAAGUACCUCAGUUUUUUGAUGGGUAUUGUUGACUCAGACACAUUGCCCCUCAAUGUAUCCCGAGAAAUGCUUCAACAACAUAGCAGUCUGAAGACCAUCAAGAAGAAACUGAUCCGCAAGGCUCUUGACAUGAUUAGGAAACUUGCUGAGGAGGAUCCUGAUGAGUACAGCAACAAAGAAAAGACAGAUGAUGAAAAGAGUGCAAUGGAGGAGAAGAAGGGCCAGUACGCCAAGUUCUGGAAUGAGUUUGGCAAAUCAGUCAAGCUGGGAAUCAUUGAAGAUGCAACAAACAGGAACCGUCUUGCGAAGCUUCUGAGAUUUGAGAGUUCCAAGUCAGAUGGCAAACUUGUCUCCCUUGAUGAGUAUAUUUCAAGGAUGAAGUCAGGGCAGAAGGACAUCUUCUACCUUACAGGAAGCAGCAAGGAGCAGCUAGAGAAAUCUCCAUUCCUUGAGCAGCUGACCAAGAAAAACUAUGAGGUUAUCUACUUCACCGACCCCGUGGAUGAGUACCUGAUGCAAUACCUCAUGGACUACGAGGACAAGAAGUUCCAGAACGUGUCCAAGGAGGGCCUGAAGCUCGGCAAGGACUCAAAGCUCAAGGACCUCAAGGAGUCGUUCAAGGAGCUGACCGACUGGUGGAAGAAGGCCCUGGACACGGAGGGCAUCGACUCGGUGAAGAUCAGCAACCGGCUGCACAACACCCCCUGUGUGGUGGUCACCUCCAAGUACGGAUGGAGCUCCAACAUGGAGAAGAUCAUGCAGGCGCAGACCCUGUCGGACGCGAGCAAGCAGGCGUACAUGCGUGGCAAGAGGGUCCUGGAGAUCAACCCCAGGCACCCCAUCAUCAAGGAGCUCCGUGACAAGGUCGCCCAGGACAGCGAUAGCGAGGGUCUGAAGCAGACGGCGAGGCUGGUGUACCAGACGGCGCUGAUGGAGAGCGGGUUCAACCUGCCGGACCCCAAGGACUUUGCCUCGAGCAUCUACCGGUCGGUGCAGAAGAGCUUGGACCUGAGCCCCGACGCGGCCGUGGAGGAGGAAGAGGAGGUGGAGGAGCCCGAGGUGGAAGAGAAGGAGUCAGCAAAGGCGGAGGAGCCGGAGCACGAGCAGUACGACAAGGACGAGCUGUAG